rnacentral:rRNA from 1 species
UACAGAGGUCCCGAGCGUUAGGCGGAAUCACUGGGCUUAAAGCGUGUGUAGGUGGAUCGUUAAGUACCUUGUGAAAUCCCACGGCUUAACCGUGGAACUGCUUGGUAUACUGGCGGUCUUGAGCCACUUAGGGGCUACCGGAACAAAUGGUGGAGCGGUGAAAUGCGUAGAUAUCAUUUGGAACGCCAAUGGUGAAAACAGGUAGCUGGGAGUGUGCUGACACUGAGACACGAAAGCCAGGGGAGCAAACGGG